GGUUGAAGGUUUAAGGUUAGCUU
rnacentral:snRNA from 1 species